GUGCAGCAGCAGCUUUCCUUGGGGCAGACCCGUGUCCACACACAGAGCCCAGCCUUCGCCUACCACAGAGCAGACCCCAUUCUGUAAGAGAGAGCCUGAGGACCAGUGUGAUCCAGGAAACUUUUGUGUGUGUGUGCCAGAGAGGGGGAGAGAGGGAGACCUAGUGCAAAGGAGAGGAAGGGAGGAAGGCAGGGGAGAGAAGGGAGCUUGCUUCAUGCACUGCUGAAGGCUGUCAGAAGCAGACUGCUCGAGCAGCGCACUGGCUAGUGUGCGAUUUAAGGGACGACUUUCACUGACUGUAUUCAUUGAAUUGCUGAAGGACAGAUAUGACAUCCAACUGCUGCUUCUAUAUGUUCUUGGUUAUUGGUACCAAGGUCAUCUGUGACUCUUUGGAAGAUCAUGUUUCUGGACUUGGGAUCAGGUGCCCCCUGGGCUACUUUCCAUGCGGUAAUAUCUCAAAGUGCUUGCCCCAACAACUUCACUGUAACGGUGAGGAUGACUGCGGGAAUCGGGCCGAUGAAGACAACUGUGAAGACUACAAUGGAUGGUCUCUGCAAUUUGAUAAACAUUAUACAAAGGACAAAUACAACAAAAUGAAAUCUCUGCAUGCAUUUCAGACAAACACACCUGAGUGCUUGGCUGGUGCUGUGCCAGCAGAGUGUACCUGCCAAAGGCUGGAGAUCUUCUGUGAUGCUGCCAAGUUGCGUGCUGUCCCGUCAGUCUCUUCAAACAUAACCAUAAUGUCUCUUCAGAGGAAUCUGCUAAGGAAACUUUCUGCUGACACUUUCAAGAAAUACCAAGACCUUAAAAAUCUGUAUCUUCAAAAUAAUAAAAUCAGAGCUGUAUCUGAACAUGCAUUUAAAGGUUUAUACAACUUGACAAAACUGUAAGUAUUGCUUUUUGAAUAUUGAAGUGAAAAGCAGCAGGAAGAGCUCUGAGAGCCACUAUGGAGGUCUCCCUCUUGUUUGAUACAAUGUUAGGAAGUUGCAAAAUGGUCCAAAUCUUUAACUCAGUGAUUGGAUUGAGAAAGCAGAGAUAGAUUAAGAGCUAUCUGUGCAAGCUUAUCUGACAGGACAACACUGAAAAUACAAGCGUGCUCCAUACUUCACUCCUAUUCUCCAAAUCCUCUGAGUGGAAGAAGGAGACAGUAUAUGGUAGUUACCCUGCAGAAAGUCAGAGAGAACGAAAAAGGACUAAAAUAAAAGCAAGAGCAUGUGAUGGUUGAAAACUCUUUAACACUGCAUUUUGGUUUACAGAAGCAAACCGAAGUAACAGUAUCAGUAAUCAAAAGAACGCUUUUCAUUUUGCAGCAGCUUUCUGAAAAGUGCUUCUAACUUUUAAGGAAAAUGCUUAGUGAAAGAGACGACACAUAAAUUGCAUUGUUUGGUCCAGGUUUUUGUUCCUGCAAUGUUUUUAAAAGGAAAAAUUUAGAAUGUUGUGCCUUUUAUUUUUCCGUCACACAAGUGUGGUUUAUUAUCUGCUAUUUCAGCUGCUAUUAUUACCUACCCAGACUAUUUAUACCAUCCCUCCCCCUUCUUUUCUCAGCCUUUCGUUUUCCAUGAUUCUGGUAUCUACAUUUAUGAUUAAUGUCCUUGGCAAAAGCUGAACGGGAUCCUGGGAACAUUCAUGGAAUGAAUCUGUCCAGGUUUAAACCAUGACAGAAUCACUCUGCAGAAGGAAACUGGGAAGGGCCUAAAAUAUGACAUAGUGAAAAUGUUUAGCUUGCUGUGUUUUCCUAUAAACAAAACAAAACAUUCUACAUAAUUGCUCUCAAAGUCCUCACCAGAGAAAGUCUCACCUUGCUCUCAAAGAAGGUCAUGGAAAUGAGUAUAAUCAAAACAGUAAUUAUUAAUCAUUUUAGUGGUAUUCUGAUAAAUUAUCAAUGGGACAAAAAAAUCUUAAAACUAAUUUUCAUGCAUCUGAUGCUAAUUAAUCUCUCUAUUUAUGUCUGAUUGGUUUUGUUUUAGAUACUUAAGUAACAACAAGAUAUCUAGUUUGAAGCCUGGUGUCUUUGCAGAUCUCCACAGACUUGAAUGGCUAGAGCUGAUGAAUAAUUCUCUUGCUCAUUUGCCUGAUAAACCUCUGUGCCGAUAUAUGCCAAGACUAAACUGGCUAGUGCCUGCUGGGUCACUGCAGGGUUGGUGACCUGAAGUCAUCAAUUAAGUGUGCAGAAAGAUUACAUGUCUGGUUCCCACCCUCUUCUGUGCAGUCAUGAAGUUCUGAGACCUUGAAGGCAACCAUAUCCAUCAUGUAAGAAAUGUCACUUUCAUCUCCUGCAACACUCUAACUGUACUGGUGUUGAGAGAAAAUAAAAUCAGCUCUUUAAGUGAAAACAGCUUUUCUUUUCUCCAGAUGUUAGAUGAAUUAGAUUUGGCUAGCAACAAGAUUGAAUCACUUCCUCCGUAUGUAUUUAAGGAUCUAAAGGAGCUUUCACAACUGAACCUUUCUUACAACCCCAUCAAGAAAAUACAAGUAGACCAGUUUGAUUUUCUAACUAAACUCAAAUCCCUUGGCUUGGAGGGCAUUGAAAUUGCAAACAUCCAGAGGAGAAUGUUCAGACCCCUGAGAAACCUUUCCCACAUAUAUUUUAAGAAAUUCCAGUAUUGUGGAUAUGCCCCUCAUGUGCGCAGCUGUAAGCCCAAUACUGAUGGGAUUUCAUCCCUUGAGAAUCUUUUAGCCAGCAUCAUACAGAGAGUGUUUGUCUGGGUUGUGUCUGCUGUCACCUGCUUUGGAAAUAUUUUCGUUAUCUGCAUGAGGCCUUAUAUCAGAUCGGAGAAUAAGCUCCACGCCAUCUCAAUAAUGUCUCUCUGCUAACAAGCAGAAAGUGCAGGAAGUCAGAUUUAUUCUGUUGUCAUUUUCUUAGGUGUAAACUUGGCAGCUUUCAUCAUCAUUGUGUUUUCCUAUGGGACUAUGUUCUACAGUGUUCACCAAACAGCUGUGACAGCUACUGAAAUUAAGAAUCAUGUUAAAAAGGAGAUGGUCCUUGCUAAACGUUUUUUCUUCAUUGUAUUUACUGAUGCACUAUGUUGGAUACCCAUUUUUGUUUUGAAACUCCUUUCUCUACUUCGGGUAGAAAUACCAGGUACCAUAACUUCUUGGGUGGUGAUUUUUAUACUGCCAAUAAAUAGUGCUUUGAAUCCUCUUCUCUACACUUUGACUACACGACCUUUCAAAGAAAUGAUUCAUCAGGUUUGGUAUAAUUACAGACAAAGAAGAUCUAAAAAAGGUAAAAGUGGUCAGAAAACGUAUGGUCCAUCAUUUAUUUGGGUAGAAAUGUGGCCAAUGCAUGAAAUGACACCAAAAGUAAUGAAGCCCAUGCUUUGUACAGACUCUUCUGAUGCUUCGGUGACCACGCAGUCAACAAGAAUAAACUAAUACACGUAAAUACAUUUUGAAUCUUCACGGUGACAUCUCCACUGUUAGCUUCACAUCUGUGGGCUUACGGCUUUACAGAAAAGAGGAAAAAGGAGGGAGGUGUGGCACCUGGGCCCAUGUGAACCAACGCAGGGAGAAGAGGGAGCAAUGUAUAUGUCUGCAAGUAGAACUAACACAAUAAUAAUUUCACCAUCUCACAAUGGUACCUGAUAUUUUGACAACUCAUCUUAGACCAGAAGGAGAAGCCACGUUGGUUUUUUCGUCUCAGAGGCCAGGAGCAUGGAAAAAAACCCCCACGAGCUGUCAUUUAAAACAUCUCACCCUGAAAGCAGGAGGUUUCAAAAUUAUCUAUCUUUAGGGAGAAAAAGAUAUUAUUUUCAUUAAACUUUUUAUUUAAAUUCCCCAUUUCAAUGGCUAAUAUUUAAGAGUUAUUUGGUUUCCUCACUAAGAACUUUUUCUCUCCUCAAAGUUUCUGACUAGGUCUAUCCAGGCUAUUAGGGAGCAACAGCCCUAAGAAAAGCUUUUACAUUUAAUAAUUAGACCAGUUUAUUUGUCAAAGACAAUCAAUCAAGUGAAAAUUUUAAUCCUUUUAAAAAUUUACAAACUUUUGCCAAUUUAUCAACCAUUUCACUCAUGUAAAAGCAGUCCUGAAAUUGUAAUGAUCAUUCUAAUUCAGUCAGAACCAGAACUGUGGGAAGGAAAAAUAAAAGGGAUUUUCUCAACUGCGUGUCGCCAGCGGUAGCUGCUGGAAGUUUCUCCCUUCAGGAGAGGAUCUUUCCCUGAAUGACUGGACUUGAGUAUCCCAACAUCUCGAUGCUGCUCUUUUCCUCACUGGUUCUUCAUGGGCUACCAUAAGUAGCUUCCCACAGCUUGCAGACUUCAACAUACUUAGUCUUAAGAUGUCUAUCUCAGUGCAUGGAAUAAUGGGAGAUGGCCAUUUGGAAGACUAUCAAUCUUAAUAGGUCUCAUUUCAAUCACCUUGUGCAUCUGACAUGAUGCGUUACAGUUAAAAUGUUUUAAGGACCGCAGCUAUUCAGGACUUUUUGGAACAUUAUUCUACUUCCCAGUGUUACAAGGGUAAAAAAAAAAACUUAUCCCAUCUGAAACAAUCCUCUAGAGGCAGUUCCUUCGCAUAUACUUACUGAAGAGAAUCUUUUCCGUUAUGAAUUGCUACAACUUCCCUUCUGUUUUCAGUACCAUACUAACAGUCCGAUGGCCUAGAAGCCCACAAAGAUAAAAAGAAUGCUGUGGUUUUGCAUCGAUGAUUAGAAGCAUUUUAAAAUGAAGUUAAAAGAUACUUCCAUUGUUUGCACUUUACUUCUUAACAGUGUAAGAAGUAGAAUUUAAAGAAGUGUGACACUUCACACUUCAACUGUUUACAGAAGUUUGGAUUAGCUUGAAUGCAGAGAUUGUUAGGCAUCUGGUUUCCACUACUGUAUGUUUUGUUGAAAUAAAAGAUUAUCUGCUGAAUAUGCUGAAAAUUA